AUUGAACGCUGGCGGCAGGCUUAACACAUGCAAGUCGAGCGAGCGGCGGCCGGGUGAGUAAUGUCUGGGAAACUGCCUGAUGGAGGGGGAUAACUACCGGAAACGGUAGCUAAUACCGCAUACCAUCAGAUGUGCCCAGAUGGGAUUAGCUAGUAGGUGGGGUAAUGGCUCACCUAGGCGACGAUCCCUAGCUGGUCUGAGAGGAUAACCAGCCACACUGGAACUGAGACACGGUCCAGACUCCGAAGGGAGGCGGCAAUGAGGAAUAUUGCACAAUGGGCGCAAGCGUGAUGCGGCAAUGCCGCGUGUGUGAAGAAGGCCUUCGGGUUGUAAAGCACUUUCAGCAGGGAGGCGUUACUCGCAGAAGAAGCACCGGCUAACUCCGUGCCAGCAGCCGCAGUAAUAC
rnacentral:rRNA from 1 species